GCGAAUUCGCCCUUAGAGUUUGAUCCUGGCUCAGGACGAACGCUGGCGGCGUGGAUAAGGCAUGCAAGUCGAACGCGAACAGAACAACUAAUUCGUUAGUAGUUCCAAGUAGAGNNNCGAACGGGUGAGUAACACGUGGAUAACAUACCUUUCAGUGGGGAAUAACAUCGGGAAACUGAUGCUAAUACCGCANAUGUCAUUUCAUUGAUUUUGAUUUGACUAAAGGGGGGGCUCCUUCGGGACCUUCCGCUGAUUGAUUGGUCCGCGGCCCAUUAGCUUGUUGGUGGGGUAAUGGCCUACCAAGGCUGCGAUGGGUAGCCGGCCUGAGAGGGUGUCCGGCCACACUGGGAUUGAGAUACGGCCCAGACUCCUUCGGGAGGCAGCAGUCGAGAAUCUUCCACAAUGUACGAAAGUAUGAUGGAGCGACGCCGCGUGUGUGAUGAAGGCUUUAUGAGUUGUAAAGCACUGUCAGAGGGGAAGAACAAGCGUAUAAUUAAUAUGUGUACGCUCUGACGUACCCUCAGAGGAAGCUCCGGCUAACUCCGUGCCAGCAGCCGCGGUAAUACGGAGGGAGCAAGCGUUGUCCGGAAUCAUUGGGCGUAAAGGGCACGUAGGCGGUUUGGUAAGUCGAAUGUGAAAUCUCAUGGCUUAACUGUGAAACUGCGUUCGAAACUACCAAACUUGAGUACUGGAGAGGUAUGCGGAAUUCCUGGUGUAGCGGUGGAAUGCGUGGAUAUCA
rnacentral:rRNA from 1 species